GACAGAGGGUGCAAACGUUGUUCGGAAUUACUGGGCGUAAAGCGCGUGUAGGCUGCUUCGCAAGUCGGAUGUGAAAGCCCUGGGCUCAACCCAGGAAGUGCAUUCGAAAACUGCAGAGCUGGAGUCCUGGAGAGGAAGGCGGAAUUCUCGGUGUAGAGGUGAAAUUCGUAGAUAUCGAGAGGAACACCGGUGGCGAAGGCGGCCUUCUGGACAGUGACUGACGCUGAGACGCGAAAGCGUGGGGAGCAAACAGG
rnacentral:rRNA from 1 species